CUGGAUAAUCCGAGUGACCAGCUCUUCAUAGCAAACUGGGUAUCUCCUAACUCGACAAACAUAACCACAAUCGCACUACAAGCCUUCACUAUUAAUUUCUACAAUGUGGCUACAUUUUCUUCUCUGCAACUACAAAGAAAAGAUACAACCACUUCCCAGAUCUCCACAACUAGGACAAACCCACACCGAACCACAACAACAGGACACAUCUCCACAACCAGGACAACUCCAC